rnacentral:rRNA from 1 species
AGCGAGACCUUCGGGUCUAGCGGCGGACGGGUUAGUAACGCGCGGGAACGUGCCCUUCUCUGCGGAAUAGCCACUGGAAACGGUGAGUAAUACCGCAUACGCCCUUCGGGGGAAAGAUUUAUCGGAGAAGGAUCGGCCCGCGUUAGAUUAGAUAGUUGGUGGGGUAAUGGCCUACCAAGUCUACGAUCUAUAGCUGGUUUUAGAGGAUGAUCAGCAACACUGGGACUGAGACACGGCCCAGACUCCUACGGGAGGCAGCAGUGGGGAAUCUUAGACAAUGGGCGCAAGCCUGAUCUAGCCAUGCCGCGUGUGUGAUGAAGGUCUUAGGAUCGUAAAGCACUUUCGCCAGGGAUGAUAAUGACAGUACCUGGUAAAGAAACCCCGGCUAACUCCGUGCCAGCAGCCGCGGUAAUACGGAGGGGGUUAGCGUUGUUCGGAAUUACUGGGCGUAAGCGUACGUAGGCGGAUCAGAAAGUAUAGGGUGAAAUCCCAGGGCUCAACCCUGGAACUGCCUUGUAAACUCCUGGUCUUGAGUUCGAGAGAGGUGAGUGGAAUUCCAAGUGUAGAGGUGAAAUUCGUAGAUAUUUGGAGGAACACCAGUGGCGAAGGCGGCUCACUGGCUCGAUACUGACGCUGAGGUACGAAAGUGUGGGGAGCAAACAGGAUUAGAUACCCUGGUAGUCCACACCGUAAACGAUGAAUGCCAGUCGUCGGGCAGUAUACUGUUCGGUGACACACCUAACGGAUUAAGCAUUCCGCCUGGGGAGUACGGUCGCAAGAUUAAAACUAAAGGAAUUGACGG